AGAGCGAACGCUGGCGGCAGGCCUAACACAUGCAAGUCGAGCGCCCGUAGCAAUACGGGAGCGGCAGACGGGAUAGUAACACGUGGGAACGCGCCCUUCGGUUCGGAAUAACUCAGGGAAACUUGAGCUAAUACCGAAUACGCCCUUACGGGGAAAGAUUUAUUGCCGAAGGAACGGCCCGCGUCCGAUUAGCUAGUUGGUGAGGUAAUGGCUCACCAAGGCUACGAUCGGUAGCUGGUCUGAGAGGAUGACCAGCAUCACUGGGACUGAGACACGGCCCAGACUCCUACGGGAGGCAACAGUGGGGAAUAUUGGACAAUGGGCGCAAGCCUGAUCCAGCCAUGCCGCGUGGAUGAUGAAGGCCUUAGGGUUGUAAAGUCCUUUUAACGGGGAAGAUAAUGACGGUACCGUAGAAUAAGCCCGGCUAACUUCGUGCCAGCAGCCGC
rnacentral:rRNA from 1 species